rnacentral:rRNA from 1 species
UACUGGUCAAUUGACGAGAGUCUGAACCAGCCAAGUAGCGUGAAGGAUGACUGCCCUAUGGGUUGUAAACUUCUUUUAUAUGGGAAUANAACAGGGUAUGCAUACCCUCUUGUAUGUACCAUAUGAAUAAGGAUCGGCUCACUCCGUGCCAGCAGCCGCGGCAAUACGGAGGAUACGAGCGUUAUCCGGAUUUAUUGGGUUUAAAGGGAGCGUAGGUGGAUUGUUAAGUCAGUUGUGAAAGUUUGCGGCUCAACCGUAAAAUUGCAGUUGAAACUGGCAGUCUUGAGUACAGUAGAGGUGGGCGGAAUUCGUGGUGUAGCUGUGAAAUGCUUAGAUAUCACGAAGAACUCCGAUUGCGAAGGCAGCCUGCUGGACUGUAACUGACGCUGAUGCUCGAAAGUGUGGGUAUCAAAC